UUCCAGUUUAAGUUUUUUGUUUAGAGGUUACCUUAUUCUUUCUAGAGAGGCUUGGUACCUUUAUUGUAACUUCUGAUACUUAGUCCUUGGUUUUGUACAGAGAUGGCACCCCCUUGGUGUUUUUUAAUCUAUGUUUGCUUUUUUCUUUCAAAAAAGACAAGCAGAAUGUAUUACUAAGCUCUUACUUGGCAUCCAAUAAUCAUUCCAAUAAGUGGUGUGAUGGAACUUCAAGAUCAGAUUAAUGUACCAAGCCUACCCUCCUCAAACCUAAAAUAUGGGUGUCGAGAAAGGUGUUCAAUUAGAGGGUAUGAGUGAGGGACAGAUUUUAAAGGCACUUGAAGAUCUUGUGAAGGCUGGAGCACCCGUUAAAGGUUGACAUUGCUUUCAUUUACCAUAUGAAAAUUGGAAUAAAUUGAUCUUGGUGGGAAAAAUGAUCCUUUUGGAAUCCUUCUAAACUGGCUUUUAUAAGAUGAUUUGUGUAUGAGUUGAAGACCUUAUUGCUGCAAUGCACAUUCAUUUUAUAAAUUUAGUUGCAACUCUCACCUUCUCUUGCUUUAAAGUAAGAGUCCGAAUCGGUUUGGGAGAAAGAGCAAGAGCAGGAAGGUCCUUGGCUUUGAAUAUUUAAAUGAUAAGUUUAUUAGUUAAAACAUUUAAAUUUUUAUUGUAAUUUUAUCAUUUCUUGUUCAA